CCUACGGGAGGCAGCAGUGGGGAAUAUUGCGCAAUGGGCGAAAGCCUGACGCAGCGACGCCGCGUGGGGGAUGACGGCCUUCGGGUUGUAAACCUCUUUCAGCAGGGACGAAGCGAGAGUGACGGUACCUGCAGAAGAAGCACCGGCCAACUACGUGCCAGCAGCCGCGGUAAUACGUAGGGUGCAAGCGUUGUCCGGAAUUAUUGGGCGUAAAGAGCUCGUAGGCGGUCUGUCGCGUCGGCUGUGAAAUCCCGAGGCUCAACCUCGGGUCUGCAGUCGAUACGGGCAAACUAGAGUGUUGCAGGGGAGACUGGAAUUCCUGGUGUAGCGGUGAAAUGCGCAGAUAUCAGGAGGAACACCGGUGGCGAAGGCGGGUCUCUGGGCAACAACUGACGCUGAGGAGCGAAAGCGUGGGGAGCGAACAGGAUUAGAUACCCUGGUAGUCCACGCCGUAAACGUUGGGCGCUAGGUGUGGGGCUCAUUCCACGAGUUCCGUGCCGCAGCUAACGCAUUAAGCGCCCCGCCUGGGGAGUACGGCCGCAAGGCUAAAACUUAAGGAAUUGACGG
rnacentral:rRNA from 1 species